rnacentral:rRNA from 1 species
CUGCUGCCUUCCGUAGGAGUCUGGUCCGUGUCUCAGUACCAGUGUGGGGGGCCUUCCUCUCAGAACCCCUACGCAUCGUCGGU